CCUACGGGAGGCUGCAGUGGGGAAUAUUGGACAAUGGGGGGAACCCUGAUCCAGCCAUGCCGCGUGUGUGAAGAAGGCCCUCGGGUUGUAAAGCACUUUCAGUGAGGAAGAACGCCUGGUGGUUAAUACCCAUCAGGAAAGACAUCACUCACAGAAGAAGCACCGGCUAACUCCGUGCCAGCAGCCGCGGUAAUACGGAGGGUGCGAGCGUUAAUCGGAAUUACUGGGCGUAAAGCGCGCGUAGGUGGCUUGAUAAGCCGGUUGUGAAAGCCCCGGGCUCAACCUGGGAACGGCAUCCGGAACUGUCAAGCUAGAGUGCAAGAGGGGAAGGUAGAAUUCCCGGUGUAGGGGUGAAAUGGGUAGAGAUCGGGAGGAAUACCAGUGGCGAGGGCGGCCUUCUGGACUGACACUGACACUGAGGUGCGAAAGCGUGGGUAGCAAACAGGAUUAGAUACCCUGUAGUC
rnacentral:rRNA from 1 species